CAAGUGAGGUCACAAAGGUGUACCCUGACCCACCAUAAUUGCUAUCCUUCUGAAAAGAGGAGAUCUGGAUACAGAGAGAAGACCGUGGGAAGACACACAGGGAGGAGAUGGCCAUGUGCCUGGAGUGAUGUAUCUACAAGCCAAAGAGCACCAUGCAAUGCUGGCAGAGCUACCGAGAAGCUCAGAUCCAAAUCUGAAUGAAGCUGUUAUAGAAACCACAUUAGUCCUUACGGUUUUAUCUGCACUGAGAGGCUGGGAGCUCUACUAGAGUGGGGAUCAGCUCAUUCAUCUUUUUACCCUCCGUGCCUGUUCCAUGCAGGACCUGGGGCAUAACAGGCAUGUCUCUUUUUGGAGCCAACCAACCUAUUGACCAAAUAAAAAAUUAAUAGAUGUGAUUUGUUCAAGAUCCCCAAACUAAGUAUUGGAUAACUUAGGACUAGAAUGUCUAGCUUCUGAUUUCUAAGCUCCUAUUCUGGUGUUCUCCUUCCUAUUCCGGUGUUGCUACAGUUCCCCAAAACACAGCUCUAAUUGCCAAAAAGUUACCUGGAGAGUUCAUUAAAAUAUGGAUUCCAGGUCCCGAAUCCUAGAAAUUCGAAUUCUCUAGGUCUGUUUUAAGAAUCUGGGAACUGGUGUCUUUGACAGUUUCCCAGGUUUUGGCAACCAUCGACUUUUACACUAUACCAUGGUGCCAUUUCUUAAUACGAAAUAAUGAAUACUUUAUCCUCAGUUUGUUGAUUUUCAUGAGGUUUUAGUUGCAUUUGGGUCCAAGGAGAUAAUUUCAGACAUUUUGAAAUGUGCCACAGAUCUGAUCUAGAUCCAAAUUCACCAUGAAUUUAGGAGGAAGAAUUAUGAGCAGUACACAAUAAAACAAAACAAAAGAAAACAAGACAAAACGCUUCCUAUACUUUAGGAGAGAAUCAU